rnacentral:rRNA from 1 species
UACGGAGGGGGCGAGCGUUGUUCGGAAUUACUGGGCGUAAAGAGCGCGCAGGCGGUCGUACAAGUCGCGUGUGAAAGCCCCCGGCUCAACUGGGGAGGGUCACGCGAUACUGUUCGACUCGAAGGCAGGAGAGGGAAGCAGAAUUCCCGGUGUAGUGGUGAAAUGCGUAGAUAUCGGGAGGAAUACCAGUGGCGAAGGCGGCUUCCUGGCCUGUUCUUGACGCUGAGGCGCGAAAGCUAGGGUAGCAAACGGG